rnacentral:rRNA from 1 species
CCAGCUCCAAUAGCGUAUAUUAAAGUUGUUGCAGUUAAAAAGCUCGUAGUUGAACUUUGGGCUUGGAGAAUCGGUCCAACUUUGUUGUGUACUGUCUUCUCCAGGUCUUUCCUUCUGGUUCUCAUUUGGGGUUUUCCUCAUUUGUUGAUCCAGGAUUUUUACUUUGAAAAAAUUAGAGUGUUCAAAGCAGGCGUUUUGCUCGAAUAUAUUAGCAUGGAAUAAUAGAAUAGGACGAUUGGUUCUAUUUUGUUGGUUUCUAGGACCAUCGUAAUGAUUAAUAGGGACGGUCGGGGGCAUCAGUAUUCAGUUGUCAGAGGUGAAAUUCUUGGAUUUACUGAAGACUAACUACUGCGAAAGCAUUUGUCAAGGACGUUUUCA